rnacentral:rRNA from 1 species
GAUGAACGCUGGCGGCGUGCCUAAUACAUGCAAGUCGAACGAAACUUCUUUAUCACCGAGUGCUUGCACUCACCGAUAAAGAGUUGAGUGGCGAACGGGUGAGUAACACGUGGGCAACCUGCCCAAAAGAGGGGGAUAACACUUGGAAACAGGUGCUAAUACCGCAUAACCAUAGUUACCGCAUGGUAACUAUGUAAAAGGUGGCUAUACUACCGCUUUUGGAUGGGCCCGCGGCGCAUUAGCUAGUUGGUAGGGUAAAGGCUUACCAAGGCAAUGAUGCGUAGCCGAAUUGAGAGGUUGAUCGGCCACAUUGGGACUGAGACACGGCCCAAACUCCUACGGGAGGCAGCAGUAGGGAAUCUUCCACAAUGGGCGAAAGCCUGGUGGAGCAACGCCGCGUGGGUGAAGAAGGUCUUCGGAUCGUAAAACCCUGUUGUUAGAGAAGAAAGUGCGUGAAAGUAACUGUUCACGUUUCGACGGUAUCUAACCAGAAAGCCACGGCUAACUACGUG